rnacentral:rRNA from 1 species
GAUGAACGCUGGCGGCGUGCUUAACACAUGCAAGUCGAACGAAGCACUUUAUUUGAUUUCCUUCGGGACUGAUUAUUUUGUGACUGAGUGGCGGACGGGUGAGUAACGCGUGGGUAACCUGCCUUGUACAGGGGGAUAACAGUUGGAAACGGCUGCUAAUACCGCAUGACGCAUUCGGAUGGCAUCAUCUGAAUGCCAAAGAUUUAUCGCUGAAAGAUGGCCUCGCGUCUGAUUAGAUAGUUGGCGGGGUAACGGCCCACCAAGCCGACGAUCAGUAGCCGACCUGAGAGGGUGACCGGCCACAUUGGGACUGAGACACGGCCCAAACUCCUACGGGAGGCAGCAGUGGGGAAUAUUGCACAAUGGGCGCAAGCCUGAUGCAGCGACGCCGCGUGAGCGAAGAAGUAUUCGGUAUGUAAAGCUCUAUCAGCAGGGAGAAGAAAUGACGGUACCUGACUAAGAAGCACCGGCUAAAU